CGUUUUUAAAGGUCUCGUUUGUGUUGUUUCAAGCAGAACAGUGCUGCACAACUGCGUGUCUGUCCUCAAUGAGUGUACACUGAAAUAACAACAGGUUUUUUCAAGAUAACCAAUAGCGUUGAUUACAUUAUCUAGAGACACAGCUGAUUUCCCUCCUAAAGUCGAGACAUGGAAAGGACCGAGAACAAAGUGUCCACCAUCUCCCUGCAAAAACAGACAGUAAAAAAUAGAUCCAAGUCCACAGAGGAGGUACAGCAAGCCAAAAAGGUAAUGGCUCUACAGAAUGCUAAUGUCACACACAUUUCAAUUUAAGUGAACCUCAUCUUUAGUGUGACUUGUGUGCAUAUAGAUGACAG
rnacentral:lncRNA from 1 species